ACAUCAUCCUCACCAUUAUCAAGAAAAAGGUGCCGAUGCUUGGAGCUGAGAUUUAAAGGGUGAACUCAGGCUGGGCUCCAGACAGAACUUGGGGGCUAGGUCCUGGCUCUCACCUCUUUCUGGGGGUCGGACCUCCUGACAGUCAGAUACAUUCCCUUAGAACUGCACACACCAGUAGAUGGUUCUAAUUUUGCAGAUCUAAGUAUCAGGGGAUGCCAGAGCAUGUAAGGGAAGUGUCCAGAUGGGCAGGGCUGAGGAAAGGCUCAGGGAGAUCUGGUCACGGGCGCUGGAGCCCAGCGCCAGUGACAGGCACCGCCUCCCUCCUGGGGUUCCACAACCCAGGGUGCACAGUAGAACCAGGAUGCAAUGUCCACCGGCAGGGUUAUGGGCUUAUCUGAGUCACACUCACGGGGUGGCUGCUUGAGGUCAAUGUAGGCAGCGCUAUGUCCGCACUUCCCACAGGCAAAGCCAAGGCAGAGCUGGGGGCUCACCCACAGGGGAGUGAAUACUGGGUAGAGGGCCCAGGCCUCUGGGGCUCACGAGGCAGACAACAGAAGGGUCAAGGCACUCCCUGCCACUCCGCAACAGCGGGAGGCCUCCACACUGCUGGUGGCUUUGGUGUGGGUACGGGGUGCAGCUUUCAUCAGACUUACAAAGGAGUGAGACAAGCUUAGACUCGUAACUGUCCCCUACAUAGAAGAAGCAAAGGAGGCCCAUCCAGUCACCCCGGAGCCCAGGUCGGCAAGAGUAAAGGGUCAAACAGGGAGACAGGGACAGAGUGCCCUCAUUUAGCAGACAUCCACUGGGCAGGCCCCUGUAAGGGACACCAGGACCAUGGCCAGAGCUGAGACAGGGCUGUCUCAAGCCUGGCAGCUGCAGGUCUCCCGGGUGGCCAGGAUGCCAGCACAACCGCACUCCCGUGGCAGCAUCAGAGACCCAGUCCACACACACAGUGACCCUUAGAAGGCCCAGACAGCCUCAGGCUGCGUAUGCUUCAAAGUGUAAAUAAGGUGGGGCCCUGAGAGAGGGUCAAGGAGCCUCCUCAUACCUUGCAGACCCGGGCCAACUCAUACUGCAAGUCCUUGAUAGUGUUGUUCUUUGAUUCUAGAACAUCCUAAGGAGAGAAAGGUGGAUGUGAGUUAGAGCUUGUCUUUGAGCUGAGGUAGACAGGGAUUGGCAGGGGUCUGGGAGCUCCAGCAGGGGACCUCAGACAUCCAGGGAAUGGCAGCCUGACCCCAUCACGGUGUGCAUCCACACAGGGCGCAGCCAGCCAGCACAGAAAGGUCUUCAGAGGAGAAAGGGAAAAUACCAUCUGCCUCUCCAGAUGGCGACUGUCUAGAUGGUGGGAAGUGAGGAUAAGAGAUUAGAGAAGCCAGGCCAACCAUGGCCCAGGGAAGGCCCCUUGAACCCCUACCUGCUGCCUGGAGGGUUCCUGCCUGGCAAGCCAACAUGAAACACACUUGCGCAAACUGAAGCAGUCAGCAGCCCCUAACUCCGAAGAUCUGUUUCUCCAUGAAGGAAAAGCAGACACACACAGGCACCGUCUAUCCUGGAAGGAUCCAUCUCUGGGACAAGCUGGCCUCUCCUCACUGGGCCUCUCCAUAAAGACAUGCAGACCAGCUGCGUUCUCUGGGGCCAUGCACACCCGCAUCUGUCUCCCAGGCACCCAAGGGCACUGCACCUGGGGUUGUCUCAGGCCUGGCAGCUACAGUAGGUCACCCAGGUGGCCAGGAUCCCUGCACAGCCGCACUCCCGCGGCAGCCCAGAGACCCCUUGUCCAGCCUCACCCGUUCUUUCUGUGACAUGCCCCAACUAGGCCCAGGGAACAGAGACACAAGGCCCAGCUCCAGGCAAGACGGCCUGCCAGGUGCUGUCAGGCUUUUGCUUGCUGAGCCAAAGCUGGCAGCUAUUGCCAGGGUUCCUCAGCUGGCCCCACCAGCCCAUGGGCACCCGGGCCCCAUCUGCCUUGUUUACUGCUGUCCCCAGUGCCCAAGAUGGUUCCAGCAUAGAGGAGCACCACGAGGAACUGUGAACUCGUGGCCUUUGCUCAGACGUAACUCCCUCUGGGAACCCUGCCACAGCACCCGCCACCACAAAGGGGCACCCACAGCCCUGCAUUUCCCUGUCCUAACUGCCCACGGCCCUGCAUUUCCCCGUCCUAACUGCCCACAGCCUACAUCCGGACAUCAAAGCAACCCAGGCAGACUGUGGCAGUAGUCUCAGCUGACAGCUCAUGGGCCUGACUGUCCCCCAGGCCCGUCUCUAGGUUUGCUGCCAAAUUCCCGAGGAGCACCGGCCCACAGCAGCUUGAGAAACCCAGGGCCUGAUAGGCUGAACUAAACCCAUCUCGAGAACUGGACGGGCAGUGGGCUCAGGGCCAGAAGGGCUGAGACGUUAAGGAGGGGACUGCAGAAGACCUCAGACCUGAGCAAAGCCAGUAACAGAGAACCUGGGGAGCCUGAUGGCACACACGGGCCUGUGAGCAGACAUCUGCAGCCCCAUCUAUGCUCAGGCCACAGGAAACCCAUGACCCUCCCAACACCACCUGAGGGCCCCCACCGGAAUGACGGAGGCUGGACACAAACACACGGAACAAGCGACCCCCAACCCAAGCUCAGGACACCUACUGGGGGGCAAGGACAUGAGGCUCCAGCCCAGUACCUCCCCAGGAGCCUGCCUGGGGCCUACCUCCAGCUUGCGGGACACAAGGGUCAGGGCAGCAGGGUCCAGGUUGGAGGCCGCCAGCACCUCAUUAAUCUGCACCUCUUUCUUCUCCACAGCAGCGCUCAGCGCCUGCAGCUUCCGCUCCAGAACCAGGUUCUUGAAGCCCACCUUCUGCUGCACCUCCAGGAUGGCCGCGGUGAACUUCCUGUACAGCUCAUCCCGCUCCUGCUGUACCUGCAAGGGACAGGCUGCAGUGGACAAAGAGGCCACCUCCCCCGGAAGCAUCUCACUGGUCGGAAGCCCCCUCCCGCCUCUUCCCUGGGCCAGCACAUACCAGUUCUGCCGAGUGAACUCCAUUCACCAGUGCCCACCCACGGAUGGGGGGGCUGGGUGUCAUUUACACUGCCGCCACACUCACUCUCUGUGACGGGAUUAAAGGGCUGCAGCCAUCCACACUGUGGAAAGCAGGAGGAAACACUAACUGGACCCUUGUCUACUAAGGUGUCUCAGGAGGUAGGAGGGCACCCUCGUUAGAGCUGGAGAAGCCCCACAGAGAGGCUGGGGCCCUGGGUUUGUUCAGUAGGCUCAGGAAAGUCAUGUCCCUGAUCACCCCUACGUCACAUCCAAGGCAUCAAACUCCAGCAGGCAAUGCUUGGGAGUGGGGCCCGUGGGGAUCCGUCCACUCCCUCUGCCAGCCCUGGAUCCUAGAACAUGCCCCACGAGGCAGAUCUGGAGACCAGCCUGUCAAUAGAUAGAAGUGUUCUUUUUCA